GGAAAGAGAAGUAUAGAGGAAUAGGGGGGAUGGGGGAGGGAGAUAGGGAGGGAGGGAGAGUCAGGAAGGAAGGGAGGGAGAGAGGCAGAAAGAAAGAGGGAGGGAGAGAGAGGGAGAGAGGGAGGGAUGGAGAGUCAGGAAGGAAGGGAGGGAGAGAGGAAACAUCCCUCAGUAGACUGUGGCAAAGGAAAUGACACAGUACUGAUGCUCAGGGUUCUUUCUAGGCAAUGGCCUCUGAGCUUCUGCACCAAGAGGUGACACAUGGGAAGGAGUGAUGCUGGGUUCUAAGCACAUGAGGGAAGACACCCAACAGUCAGUGGAGGUUGAAUAUUUGGUUGUGACUAUAAGGGAGCUGCAUUGUUGUGGUUAGCCCUGGGGCUAAUUGUAUUUGAUGGUAAUUCUGUUCUCCUGUGAGGGGCUUCAAACAAGGAGUGAGUCAGCACUCAGGUGAUUUCCUGUAAACCUUCUUCCCACCUUAAUUUAUAAAUAAAAGCUAGAGCCAGUGGUUGGGCAGAGAAAGAGGGAAAGAUAAAGCUGAGCUGAAGGUUUUGGGGGGUGGUGGAGGGAGGGAGGAAGGAGAGAGAACAACUGGGGAGGAGGUAGUGGAAAGAAAGUGGAGUAGAAGCAUCUGGCCUGGAGAAACCACAAGUUCUCAGGGCUCUCUUACAUGCAGAAGAUGGUAGGCACACAGCAUGUAUUCAUAUUAACUGAGUUAUGUUUUCAUUGCCCGGGCCUAUUUGGGUUGGAGAGUAACCACAACAGUGUAUGGCCAAGAAGACAGAAAUAACCCCAGUAGAUGUUUGCUUCUUACGUCAUGAAGAGAUUUAAAAUGCCUUACCUAUUUAGCAGUAAUGCACUGGACAUGAAGAAGUCCUCCCAGGAGGCCCCUGUGUUACUUCACAGCCCCUCUUCCCUAACUCCCAUUCUUUCUAAGAGGCAAAGAUUGUUUUGUUUUCUGUUUUUACUUAUUUAUUUAUAUUUUGCAUCUGUCAGCCCCAUAUUCUUUAUUUUCUCUUUUUUUUCCGUUUUUCUUUGAGGCAAAUGCUUGCAUAGGGCAUAGGCUGCUCCUU
rnacentral:lncRNA from 1 species